CUACGGGGGGCUCCAGUGGGGAAUUUUGGACAAUGGGCGAAAGCCUGAUCCAGCCAUGCCGCGUGCAGGAUGAAGGCCUUCGGGUUGUAAACUGCUUUUGUACGGAACGAAAAGACUCUUUCUAAUAAAGAGGGUCCAUGACGGUACCGUAAGAAUAAGCACCGGCUAACUACGUGCCAGCAGCCGCGGUAAUACGUAGGGUGCGAGCGUGUAAUCGGAAUUACUGGGCGUAAAGCGUGCGCAGGCGGUUAUGUAAGACAGAUGUGAAAUCCCCGGGCUCAACCUGGGAACUGCAUUUGUGACUGCAUAGCUAGAGUACGGCAGAGGGGGAUGGAAUUCCGCGUGUAGCAGUGAAAUGCGUAGAUAUGCGGAGGAACACCGAUGGCGAAGGCAAUCCCCUGGGCCUGUACUGACGCUCAUGCACGAAAGCGUGGGGAGCAAACAGGAUUAGAUACCCGAGUAGUC
rnacentral:rRNA from 1 species